AUUGAACGCUGGCGGCAUGCUUUACACAUGCAAGUCGAACGGUAACAGGGAGCUUGCUCCGCUGACGAGUGGCGAACGGGGUGAGUAAUGCAUCGGAACGUACCGUGUAAUGGGGGAUAACGUAGCGAAAGUUACGCUAAUACCGCAUACGCCCUGAGGGGGAAAUGGGGGACCGCAAGGCCUCACGUUAUACGAGCGGCCGAUGUCGGAUUAGCUAGUUGGUGGGGUAAAGGCCUACCAAGGCGACGAUCCGUAGCGGGUCUGAGAGGAUGAUCCGCCACACUGGGACUGAGACACGGCCCAGACUCCUACGGGAGGCAGCAGUGGGGAAUUUUGGACAAUGGGGGCAACCCUGAUCCAGCCAUGCCGCGUGAGUGAAGAAGGCCUUCGGGUUGUAAAGCUCUUUCAGGUGGAAAGAAAUCUCCCGGGUGAAUACCCUGGGAGGAUGACGGUACCAUCAGAAGAAGCACCGGCUAACUACGUGCCAGCAGCCGCGGUAAAGUCACGUCG
rnacentral:rRNA from 1 species